AGUUUGAUCCUGGCUCAGAACGAACGCUGGCGGCAGGCUUAACACAUGCAAGUCGAACGCCCCGCAAGGGGAGUGGCAGACGGGUGAGUAACGCGUGGGAAUCUACCGUGCCCUGCGGAAUAGCUCCGGGAAACUGGAAUUAAUACCGCAUACGCCCUACGGGGGAAAGAUUUAUCGGGGUAUGAUGAGCCCGCGUUGGAUUAGCUAGUUGGUGGGGUAAAGGCCUACCAAGGCGACGAUCCAUAGCUGGUCUGAGAGGAUGAUCAGCCACAUUGGGACUGAGACACGGCCCAAACUCCUACGGGAGGCAGCAGUGGGGAAUAUUGGACAAUGGGCGCAAGCCCGAUCCAGCCAUGCCGCGUGAGUGAUGAAGGCCUUAGGGUUGUAAAGCUCUUUCACCGGUGAAGAUAAUGACGGUAACCGGAGAAGAAGCCCCGGCUAACUUCGUGCCAGCAGCCGCGGUAA
rnacentral:rRNA from 1 species